rnacentral:rRNA from 1 species
UAAAGCCAAAGAUCUUCUAUGUCGUCGCACGCACCGCGAAGAUACGAAGCCCAAACACGAAAGUUGCUUUAUUUACCCUGACCCCACGAAAGCUAAGACACAAACUGGGAUUAGAUACCCCAUUAUGCUUAGCCCUAAACUUAGGCGUUCAACCUACCAAUAACGCCCGCCAGGGGACUACAAGCGCUAGCUUCAAACCCAAGGGACUUGACGGUGUCUCAAACCCGCCUAGAGGAGCCUGUUCUAGAACCGAUAAUCCGCGUUUAACCUCACCACCCCUUGUCCACACAGCCUAUAUACCGCCGUCGCAAGCUUACCCUGUGAAGGAUCCACAGUAAGCAAAAUGGGCUAACCCCCCAAAACGUCAGGUCGAGGUGUAGCUUAUGGGGUGGGAAGAAAUGGGCUACAUUUUCUGAAACAGAAUAUAACGAACAACACUAUGAAAGCAGUGUUUAAAGGUGGAUUUAGUAGUAAAAAGGAAUCAGAAUGUCCUUUUGAAUUAGGCUCUGAGAUGCGUACACACCGCCCGUCACUC